rnacentral:rRNA from 1 species
GAUGAACGCUGGCGGCGUGCCUAAUACAUGCAAGUCGAGCGAACGGACGAGGAGCUUGCUUCUCUGAUGUUAGCGGCGGACGGGUGAGUAACACGUGGAUAACCUACCUAUAAGACUGGGAUAACUUCGGGACACCGUAGCUAAUACCGGAUAAUAUUUUGAACCGCAUGGUUCAAAAGUGAAAGACGGUCUUGCUGGCACUUCUCGAUGCAUCCGCGCUGCAUUAGCUAGUUGGUAAGGUAACGGCUUACCAAGGCAACGAGGCAUAGCCGACGGGUGAGGGGGAUAGGCCACACUGGAAGUGAGACAGGGUCCAGGCUCCUAAGGGAGGCAGCAGUAGGGAAUCUUCCGCAAUGGGCGAAAGCAUGGCGGAGCAACGCCGCGCGAGAUAUAGAGGUCUCCGGAUCGUAAAACUCUGUUAUUAGGGAUGAACAUAUGUGUAAGUUACUGUGCACAGCUUGACGGUAACUAAUCAGAAAGCCACGGCUAACUACGUG